rnacentral:rRNA from 1 species
AAGAUGCUAAUAACUCGAUAAAAGCUACUUUCGCAUGAAAGAAGUUUAAAAGGCGGCGUAAGCUGUCGCUAAAGGAUGGACCUGCGAUGCAUUAGCUAGUUGGUAAGGUAACGGCUUACCAAGGCGAUGAUGCAUAGCCGAGUUGAGAGACUGAUCGGCCACAUUGGGACUGAGACACGGCCCAAACUCCUACGGGAGGCAGCAGGC